rnacentral:rRNA from 1 species
UACGUAGGGGGGCUAGCGUUGUCCGGAAUCAUUGGGCGUAAAGCGCGUGUAGGCGGCCCGGUAAGUCCGCUGUGAAAGUCGGGGGGCUCAACCCUCGGAUGCCGGUGGAUACUGUCGGGCUUGAGGUACGGAAGAGGCGAGUGGAAAUUCCUGGUGUAGCGGGUGAAAUUGCGGCAGAUAUCAAGGAGGAACACCAAUUGCG